AGUAUCUCUGUUCAGCUAUUAGCCAAGUGGUGGUGCUCUGUAGCUCAGUUGGUAGAGCAUGGCGCUUGCAAUGCCAAGACAGUGAGUUUGAUUCCCAGGACCACCCAUAUGUAAAAAUAUAUGCGCACAUGACUAAGUCGCUUUGAAUGAAAGUGUCUGCUAAAUGGCACUGAAGUGUGACAUAGAAAGAAUCCAAGUGUGCUAUUUCCCAUUCAGUAUUAACAUGGUGAUGGACUGCUGCUGGAUGUGAACCAGUGUGUUGGUUACAGGGCCGUCCUGGGUUGAAUGGUGUCAAAGGAGAGAGGGGGGAUUCAGCGGGAGGGACUGGAGGAUAUGGAGGUCCUCCAGGACCACCUGGUCCACCCGGACCCCCCGGGCCAGCAGUACCUCUGGACAGGUUCAAUAGGGAUGAUGUCUCACGGUUAUAUCCUGACUCCAAAGGAGACAAAGGUGAUCGUGGAGUACCAGGAAUACCCGGGGUACCAGGUACAGUAAAACCAGCUAGUUAUUUACCUCCGCUGGCCUUAGGUGUACUAACACACGAGAUUGAGCUGAUUGAACUCACGUUCUAUCGUCUCCACUCUAGGUCUCACGUCCAACUUUGACAUCUACACCUUCAAGGUAAGUGACGUAACGACAAAGGAGCUCUACACUCACAACCCGCCAUGCGUCUGUA
rnacentral:lncRNA from 13 species